GAUGAACGCUGGCGGCGUGCUUAACACAUGCAAGUCGAACGGUGAAAGAGGAGCUUGCUCCUCUCGAUCAGUGGCGAACGGGUGAGUAACACGUGAGUAACCUGCCCCAGACUCUGGGAUAAGCACUGGAAACGGUGUCUAAUACCGGAUACGAGCUUCAGCCGCAUGGCUAGGAGCUGGAAAGAAUUUCGGUCUGGGAUGGACUCGCGGCCUAUCAGCUAGUUGGUGAGGUAAUGGCCCACCAAGGCGACGACGGGUAGCCGGCCUGAGAGGGUGACCGGCCACACUGGGACUGAGACACGGCCCAGACUCCUACGGGAGGCAGCAGUGGGGAAUAUUGCACAAUGGGCGCAAGCCUGAUGCAGCAACGCCGCGCGAGGGACGACGGCCU
rnacentral:rRNA from 1 species